rnacentral:lncRNA from 1 species
GAAGUUUAUGAAUUAAUAAUAUCGUCAAACAAAGGAAGAUUAUCCUUCAAAUCAAAUCAAAAAUAUUUUCUUCUUCGAAGAAAGGAACAGAUCAUAUAUUUGAUUUGAUGUGAUUGUAAUUUAGUAAUUUUCUUUUUAUUCUUGUGCUUGAGCCUAUAAAAAGGGGUUAGAACAUUGUAAUGCAUCAAUGAGAGAUGAAUUAAUGAAUCGUGUUAUUUUCUCACCUUGUGUGUAAGUAGUGUGAGGCCACAAUUAUGUUUCUAAUGGUAAAAUUCAAUCAUCCACAUGUGAGACGCGGAGGUGCGAGGCUCUCAUCAUGAGAGUUCGCUCCUUGAGCCAAAAGCGAGUCUAGUAGUUAUCUCUUUAUGUUUUUCAAUUAUCUUUCAGUUCUUAUCUCUUUUUUUCUCUCUUUUUAUCUCUCUAUCAUCAAAAAAAAUCCAUUGCUACUCGUCCUACAUCACAAGCAACCUAAAAGAUCCAACAGACAACAAAGGAAAAGAAGCAUGAAGUACAAGAUCCUCGACAUGAUCAGCACCGCAAUGCUACAAAGAAAAGAUGAUGCAUCUCAAUAAAAACUGAUUCAAAUUUCAGUUAAAUUGGUUAUGUUGACUCAAUUUUUUUUUAUAUAUUCUUAAAGGAUUUAAAGUAUUCCAUGAGCAGAUUAUGGGUGGUGGUCCCUAUGUCAAAAUGCUAAUCUUAGUAUCAUUACUUCAGCAUUCUCCUUUAGUUAAAAAUUGGAAAUAUACAACUUAAAUCUUAGCUCGAGGGAGUUCCAGUUGUGUUUAAAUUGGAAAGACAAGGUUUAAGUCCUCCACCAGUCUUAGGAGGGACUAAACUCUUCCAUUUAGUAUGAGUGAAGCAUUACAUACUGAAAUAUUACUGACAUAAUGGACUAUUAACAGAGUCGGUUCUUUAUGAUUGACACCUUAUUUUUACCUUCCUCUCUCUUUCUUUAUGCUUGAUUCAUGUUUGUAGCAUACUUGCUUUUCAUGGCUUCAAUCAAGGAUAGUGAUGAGGUGUGGAGCCGCCUAGCUCUCCACUGCCCACUGUGAAUUUACAAGCCCUCUUCUCCAUCUCAACACGGGGAACCCAUUGUGGUCCACCACAGCACAUCGCCAACCUCUUUUCAGGUAUGCUUCCUCCUCCACCGCCUCCUUUCUUCCUCCUUACUCCUGUUUGUCUUCCUCCAUCACUUCCUCUUCCUCCUCUUCUUCCACCGCUUCCUCUUCUCAUUCUUCCUCUUUAGUACCUACUGUUCACACUGGCAUCAGCACUAAAGGUAUGUAUCGGUCCAGCUGGGACCAGUACAAUGUCUGGUAUGAGCUUGCAAUNNNNNNNNNNNNNNNNNNNNGUUCACACUGGCAUCAGCACUAAAGGUAUGUAUCGGUCCAGCUGGGACCAGUACAAUGUCUGGUAUGAGCUUGCAAUCCUUGGGUUCAAUCCCCUUGUUUUUUACAAGCCCACUGUGACUUUACAAGCCCUCUUCUCCAUCUCGACACGGGGAACCCAUUGUGGUCCACCACAGCACAUCGCCAACCUCUUUUCAGGUAUGCUUCCUCCUCCACCACCUCCUUCUUUCGUCCUCCUUACUCCUGUUCGUCUUCCUCCAUCACUUCCUCUUCCUCCUCUUCUUCCACCGCUUCCUCUUCUCAUUCUUCCUCUUUAGUACCUACUGUUUACACUGGCAUCAGCACUAAUGGUAUGUAUCAGUCCAGCUGCGACCAGUACAAUGUCUGGUAUGAGCUUGCAUUCUUUGGUUUCAAUCCCCUUGUUUUUUACUCAUUUGCUACAUUUAUCCUAUGAUAGAUCCACAAAUCAAAUUAUGGCACUGUCCAAUUGAUCCAAACAAUGACCACUGAGCUUUUGACCCUCUUUAACAGCAAUUAAAACAUGUGGUGACAAUCCUGCAAAUUUACCUCAAAAACAGAAAGAAUACCAAGAGAAAGUAAACCGGAAUAAUUAUAACUUCAAAGGACUAAGAUAAUUGAUUACCUACACAAUCAUAACAAUUCUUCCGUAUGGCUGACACAACCAAUCAAAUCUUAUUCUAAUAACAAUUCAUCCAAAAGAUUAACAACAUAUCCAGUCUUAAUCUUAUAGAUUUACUUGACAAUCAUCACAAUUCAUCUAAAAGGCUGACAGUCAAUCCAAUUAGAUUAGGCCAAUAUCCUAUCGAGGGAUCAAAGCAUCACUUUUCUUGGAAUGAGAAGACCAAUUGUAGCCAUAAUGAACAAGAAAUGUCCCUAGUAAUAUCCCUCAAAUUGUAAAAAUAUAUGUACCAGGCACCAAUGUAGCUUCCGUUACUAGACUAUGAAGUGUGACUUGAAGAUACUAUUUCUAUAAGCAGUAGAAAAAAAUGUUGCAACUUCAGAUAAGAACUCACCUCAACCAGCCUGAAAAUAUCCACAAACUAAAACAGAUUUAAAUUGGUCUACAAGAUCUCAUAUUUCCUGAUUCUGUACAUGAAAAUUUUGGAGAAACUUAAGUUCCAUACUUUGGUGCUACUGCCCAAGUAACAGAUUGAUAAUUUGGGGAAGCAAUGAAAAACCUUAGAAGCAAUUUCUAGUUUCAUCUAUGCAUAAGACAAAUGUCAAAGAGCCUUCUAUACUGUAAACAUGAACAGCACCCCCUAUAACAAUUACUAGCUUAUGCAAUUAGGAAAGAAUCCUUAACUGGUAGUACAGCAGCACUCAGCUAUAUGGUAACAAACUAUUUUUCCUUUUAGGUUUCACAUUCAAAUCUUAGAGGAUGAGUGGUAAGGUUGCUAGUUUGCGAUCUAGGAAAUUGCUCCUUUGCGAUCUAGGAGCCAAGGAUACAAGUCACAAAAAAAUUCUCUAAAUAUAGAGGUAAGGUAAGGCUAAGUAUAUUGACCCUCACCAGAUCCCAUAGAGUUCCUUGUGCACCGGGUUUGCCCAUAGUUCAAAUAUUAUCAGAACUAAAGUCAAUCAAAACAAUAGCAAAGAUUCUUUUGGUAAAAUAAGCCAGACACUAGUAUCAAUAAAUAUUGAAUUACCAAGCCUAAUGGUUCCUUUUCUUUUUGGAACAACCAUGAAAUAAAGAAAACAAUUGAGGCUAUCAAAUUAAUAGGUAACAGCAACUCUGACUUGAACUAUAGGACAACAUGAUGUUGUUCUGCAGAAUGUGCUUGCAAAGAGAAUUCCAAAAAAUUGAGAACUAAUAUCACACAUCAAGAAGAGAAAUUCUUUGUAGUAUAAGUUAAAUCAAACUGAGGUUUUUAAAUUUGGGUGUUGGACCCAUGCUGGUCCUAGCCCAGACCGGUAUGGGUCCAACAAUUCCGGCAUAUCAUGUACAUACAAACUGAGUUCCAAGAAAACAUGAAAAAGGCUGAAAAUAUAAAAAAAUUAGCACCUUGUAUAAGCCAUGUACUGGUACUGAUCAUGUACCUGGCAUACUGCUCGGUUUACCAUGUUCCACGAGUUGAUAAGUUAUCAAAUCAGUAAAGGAACCCUACCAAACGACAUGGUUCUCCCUUUCACCAGGACUGAUGGUGGACACAUACAGGUCUGGCCAGCAACCAAUAAGGGUCUGGUAUGCAAAAUAGCAUUCCUUGCUGGGAGGUGUUGCAAACCUUCCUUCAAAUCACUCGCCAGAUUAUCCUUCUGAUUUGCAUAAUUGAAGCUAAGUUAUGACGUCAAAAGCAUCAACUAUUUUACCAUAGGUUUCAUGCUUUAAAACCAUAAAGACUGUAACCAUGCAACAACCUAUCAGCAAUUAUCCUUAAUAGUUGCAUAUGUCAACUUCUUGGAAGCAAUUUAAGUGUUCCUUGCCAUUCACAUGCCACUUGACCAAAGACAAGAUUGGUACCAAGUGACAAGGCCUAAAAGCUCAGUCUGGUAUUGGACUUGACACCUCUCCAGACAACUAUGUGGUACAGUAUUUUGGGAGGUAGCUAACUAUAUGCUCUAGUACCAGUCUUUGGUCGGAACAACUAAUACCAUUAGCAUGUAUCACCCGACCGGUAUGUGAGACUUUGUCAUGUACCAGCAUCAAGGUAGCAAUAAGAAAUCUCCAGAAACAAAAAGUGUGCAGGUCACCAAGUAUUAUCCAUACACAAUGCAUCAUACAUGAUUAGUUAUGGCAUGCAGCAACAGGAAUGAUAAAGAGGAAAGCAAUACAUGACUUGACAAAAAUUAAGGAGUAGAAAAAGAAGAGGAGAAAGGAUUACUUCUCAUAAGAAUAAAUGAAUAUAUUUUGUUGUAUUUAAUUAUUAUUAUUAUUAUUAUUAUUAUGGCAGCCAAAACAUAAAAAAC